GUUUUCACCACAUUCACUCGUUAUAGAUCAAACAAAAUGGCCAAUCGAAUGAAAGAAUGGAAACUAGACUGUAAAGUGUACAUUGGUGAUCUUGGUUAUGGUGCAGCAAAACAAGAACUGGAAGACUUGUUUUCCAGGUACGGCCCCAUUAGGAAUGUGUGGGUAGCCAGAAACCCACCAGGUUUUGCCUUUGUAGAGUUUCAGGACCCAAGAGACGCUGAAGAUGCAACAAAAGCUCUUGAUGGCACGAGGAUAAAUGGCAGGAGAGUUAGAGUAGAAAUGUCAUCAGGAAAAUCUCGCUGGGGCUCUAGAGGACCACCCACACGUCGUGGAGGCGGUGGUGGGAGGAGCUACAGAGAUGAAAGACGCAGAUCAAGGCUAGCCCUUUAUCCCCCCAGCCAGUCGGCGUCAUCGUUUCUUUCCCCUGGUCAACGUCUGCCCUAAUCAACAUUGCUGAUCAACUUGAUCAACAUCCCACUGUUCUAUCAGCUGAUAUCAACCUGCAGCUGUUUUAUCAGCACUACAACACAACGCCCAUCAGCGUCAACAACAGUACUAAGACUUUAAACGGGGAACAAUAUCUUCUCACCUAGAUCAUCUAAAAUUAAGUCAUGUUCAGACAUUUUCAACGUAUUUUAGAUCUUGGUUUUGGACACUGAAAUUGGUGAAAAUAGUGCAAAAUUUUAUUUGAGUGGAUUUUGAAUUCUGGUAAAAAAUAUCUAACAGUGUUAAAGAACCUAAAAAAAAAAGAAUAGAAACAAAAUAAGCCUUAGAUAUUUAUUUUAGAGUGCUGUCCCAAAAUCUGAGUAAUUUUUCAGUCAGAUCCUUUAGAACUAUAAGCAUUUCAGAUAUACAAAGACAUUUUACUAAAGAAUCAAAUUAACAGUUAAAUUUUGUAGGAGCUUUGUUGAAUUGUCUGAACAGCCCAAAUUUUUUCACACCUUCAAUUUUCCAACGCCUUUCUUCGAUACAUACACAUCACGUUAGUUUCCCUAUUCUCCGUGGGUCAGCAUCAGCAUUUCAACUUUAUCACCUCUUAUCGUCAGGACGGCAGCUUGACAAUGAUCUUUUUCACCGAGACGAAGAAGUCCCUCCCCGAGAAGACGAAGCAGGAGCAGAAGUCGCUCUAGGUCACCAUCUUACAGAAGGUCCAGGUCUCCUUAUGACAGACGAUAGGAACAACUUCAGACA